UACGUAGGUGGCAAGCGUUGUCCGGAAUUACUGGGUGUAAAGGGCGUGCAGCCGGGUCUGCAAGUCAGAUGUGAAAUGCAGAGGCUUAACCUCUGAACUGCAUUUGAAACUGUAGAUCUUGAGUACCGGAGGGGCAAUCGGAAUUCCUAGUGUAGCGGUGAAAUGCGUAGAUAUUAGGAGGAACACCAGUGGCGAAGGCGGAUUGCUGGACGGCAACUGACGGUGAGGCGCGAAAGUGUGGGGAGCAAAC
rnacentral:rRNA from 1 species